rfam:Brachypodium distachyon strain Bd21 chromosome 5, whole genome shotgun sequence.
GAACUACUCCCUCCGUUCCAUAAUUCUUGUCGAAAUCUUACAUGUAUCUCGAGACUUUUUAGGAAUAGAUACAUUCAUUUUUAGGCAAAUUUGAGACAAGAAUUAUGGAACGGAGGGAGUAAUAU